CAAAGGUGAGCCAAUACAGGAUGGACCCGCGUCUGAUUAGCUAGUUGGUAAGGUAACGGCUUACCAAGGCGACGAUCAGUAGCCGACCUGAGAGGGUGAUCGGCCACAUUGGAACUGAGACACGGUCCAAACUCCUACGGGAGGCAGCAGUGGGGAAUAUUGCACAAUGGGCGAAAGCCUGAUGCAGCAACGCCGCGUGAGUGAUGAAGGCCUUCGGGUCGUAAAACUCUGUCCUCAAGGAAGAUAAUGACGGUACUUGAGGAGGAAGCCCCGGCUAACUACGUGCCAGCAGCCGCGGUAAUACGUAGGGGGCUAGCGUUAUCCGGAUUUACUGGGCGUAAAGGGUGCGUAGGCGGUCUUUCAAGUCAGGAGUGAAAGGCUACGGCUCAACCGUAGUAAGCUCUUGAAACUGGGAGACUUGAGUGCAGGAGAGGAGAGUGGAAUUCCUAGUGUAGCGGUGAAAUGCGUAGAUAUUAGGAGGAACACCAGUUGCGAAGGCGGCUCUCUGGACUGUAACUGACGCUGAGGCACGAAAGCGUGGGGAGCAAACAGGAUUAGAUACCCUGGUAGUCCACGCUGUAAACGAUGAGUACUAGGUGUCGGGGGUUACCCCCUUCG
rnacentral:rRNA from 1 species